rnacentral:rRNA from 1 species
CAGGCCUAACACAUGCAAGUCGAGCGGGUGUAGCAAUACACCANCGGCAGACGGGAGAGUAACACGUGGGAACGUGCCCUUCAGUUCGGAACAACCCAGGGAAACUUGGGCUAAUACCGGAUACGUCCGUAAGGAGAAAGAUUUAUCGCUGAAGGAUCGGCCCGCGUCUGAUUAGCUUGUUGGUGAGGUAACGGCUCACCAAGGCGACGAUCAGUAGCUGGUCUGAGAGGAUGAUCAGCCUCACUGGGACUGAGACACGGCCCAGACUCCUACGGGAGGCAGCAGUAGGGAAUAUUGGACAAUGGGCGCAAGCCUGAUCCAGCCAUGCCGCGUGGGUGAUGAAGGCCCUAGGGUUGUAAAGCCCUUUCGGCGGGGAAGAUAAUGACGGUACCCGCAGAAGAAGCCCCNGCUAACUUCGUGCCAGCAGCCGCGGUAAUACA